rnacentral:rRNA from 1 species
UACGAAGGGGGCUAGCGUUGCUCGGAAUCACUGGGCGUAAAGCGCACGUAGGCGGAUUGCUAAGUCAGGGGUGAAAUCCUGGAGCUCAACUCCAGAACUGCCUUUGAUACUGGUGAUCUUGAGCCCGGGAGAGGUGAGUGGAACUGCGAGUGUAGAGGUGAAAUUCGUAGAUAUUGGGAAGAACACCGGUGGCGAAGGCGGCCAUCUGGCCCAUUUUUGACGCUGAGGCGCGAAAGCGUGGGGAGCAAACAGG